rnacentral:rRNA from 1 species
UACGAAGGGGGCUAGCGUUGCUCGGAAUCACUGGGCGUAAAGCGCACGUAGGCGGCUUUUUAAGUCAGGGGUGAAAUCCUGGAGCUCAACUCCAGAACUGCCUUUGAUACUGGCGAUCUUGAGUCCGGGAGAGGUGAGUGGAACUGCGAGUGUAGAGGUGAAAUUCGUAGAUAUUCGCAAGAACACCAGUGGCGAAGGCGGCUCACUGGCCCGGUACUGACGCUGAGGUGCGAAAGCGUGGGGAGCAACAGG